CACGUAGUUAGCCGUGGCUUUCUGGUUAAGUACCGUCAUCUCAAGGCCAGUUACUACCUCAAGUGUUCUUCCUUAACAACAGAGUUUUACGAGCCGAAACCCUUCAUCACUCACGCGGCGUUGCUCCGUCAGGCUUGCGUCCAUUGCGGAAGAUUCCCUACUGCUGCCUCCCGUAGGAGUCUGGGCCGUGUCUCAGUCCCAGUGUGGCCGAUCACCCUCUCAGGUCGGCUAUGCAUCGUCGCCUUGGUGAGCCACUAUCUCACCAACUAGCUAAUGCACCGCAGGCCCAUCCAUGAGCGGCAGAUAAAUCCGCCUUUUAACUUAACUGCUUAUGCAGGAAAGUCGUAUCCGGUAUUAGCUACCGUUUCCGGUAGUUAUCCCAAUCUCAAGGGUAGGUUGCCUACGUGUUACUCACCCGUCCGCCGCUCGAUCAUGAGGAGCAAGCUCCUCAAUCUCGCGCUCGACUUGCAUGUAUUAGGCACGCCGCC
rnacentral:rRNA from 1 species